rnacentral:rRNA from 1 species
CUACGGGGUGCACCAGCUAAGAAUCUUCCGCAAUGGACGAAAGUCUGACGGAGCGACGCCGCGUGAACGAUGAAGGCCGUGAGGUUGUAAAGUUCUUUUCCGAGGGGAGAAUAAGGAUGGCAGGGAAUGGCCGUCUGAUGACGUGAACUCGGGAAUAAGCCCCGGCUAACUACGUGCCAGCAGCCGCGGUAACACGUAGGGGGCGAGCGUUGUUCGGAAUCAUUGGGCGUAAAGGGUGCGCAGGCGGUGACGCAAGUCUGGUGUGAAAGAUCUCGGCUCAACCGAGGGAACGCGCUGGAAACUGUGUCACUAGAGUACAGGAGGGGGAGUUGGAAUUCCAGGUGUAGGGGUGAAAUCUGUAGAUAUCUGGAAGAACACCGGUGGCGAAGGCGAACUUCUGGCCAUGUACUGACGCUGAGGCACGAAGGCGUGGGGAGCAAACAGGAUUAGAUACCCUGGUAGUC